UCAACAGAGUCAAAUUAAGUUAAACGCGCGCUACCUUACAAACUCAUCUCAUCGUCUGUCCUCCUUGGCCCACCGCACCGGCGGCCGUUGACGGUUCCGGUGUCCUCUUAUACCUUACCAACCUAAGCAUCAUAACACGCUAGACACGCCUGUGGUAACGGAAUUGAGCAACAACUAAAGGAUUCAUGGAAUCGCUCCUAGCAACGGAAGAGACCUAGCCUAUUCAAAGUUCAAUUACACGACUCUCACUGGAGAUUAAUGCCUAAUACCAUGGGGUUUUCAUUUCUCCGCCUAAAGGCUACGUGCCGGUACACUCAGAGCAAGAAAGUGAUAACGAAACCUAACUGACAUAUCGGAGAAGAUGAUCGGAGAAUUCGCCGACUUUGAUCUUGUUUGCUGAAUCCACUUCAUGGGACAAAUUUUUUCAGGGCCUGUGAUGUGCUUGGUUGGGAAAUUCAAUGGCUUUGGAGGUUUGGCAUGGCUUCAAUGUGCUUCUGCAACAGUCCAAAACAGGUUCAACAACAUGCAUUUGCCAAGUUAUAUCAUGAUGCUUUGGACUGACCAGCUGACUGCUUUCACCAAGAACUUCAUUGUAACUGCUAUGCCUUGGCUUGAUGAUGGACAUGGAUGUUGCAGGGUGGUGCUUGUGUAAGACUGAUGUGGUUUGGUGUGAUAUGAAGUCUUGAUGCAGGUUUGGUAUGAGAUGUUGUUUAGAUGUGUGUUCCACUGCUGUGAUGAUGGUUUCAUGAGCUACUCACAUUUGAAAAUGCAACAUUUAGGCCAGUUCAAUGGAGCAUGAUGUUACCCUCUGACUCAAUCAAAACCAAAGGCCAUGUAGCUUGGAUCAAGGCUAUUGGUUCUGUCUUGUAACAGGGUGUAGCAACUUGUAGCAUUGCCUUGGUUUUGGUUCACUUGUGGUCAAAUUGAUAGCCUGCUUACAGAUUUUACUCAUGUAGCAGCUCAUAAUCUCAAGGCUUGCAGCAAUCCUGACUUGAUGACUAGUUCAGCUGCUAGUUGCUAGCAAAAUAGUCUUAUGAAUUAGGAUAAGGCGUUUGUGGUUUCAUUCUCUUGUUGCAAUUCUUACUCCAAAUUGGCUAGACAACUUAGCUGAUAGUUGAUGGAUGCUUGGAACAGGUAAUAUGAAUUGAGGUGCCUCAUGUUCCUUUAGCCAUUGAUGGUGAAUGGUAGGUUCAACUUCAGUUUUGCUUGGUCAUAAUUCUUUGACAGGAUGAGUUGAGUUAAUGAUGUGUGGCUUUCUUUUUGUUGAUUGUUUUGGUCAUGACUUGGAUAUUGUUUGCAUCAUCAUGUCAUUUUCUUGGUCAUGUAUGGUUGGAUUUGUUAGCAUAACCUCUAACAUGUUUGAAUUUAUUUGAUUAUUGGUGAAUGCAGGACUGGUUUGUCAUGGUAGGUAAGGCAAAAUGCAAAGCAGUGUGUGGCAAGGUAAGGCAAGAAUGACCAAGUUAUGGCAUGGCAAUAUGUUGUACUGCAGGAUCACAGCAGGUCUGUUGUAUGAAGCUUACACAUUAGCUGGUUUGAUGAUGCAGUGUGAUUAGUCUUAUAGCAGGGUUCUUGUCCUGGUUCCAAUUUAUAUGCUGCAGAACUAAAUGUAGGAGUAUUGAUGGUUGUGGUUUGCUAGGAUUUGGCUGAACUGCCCGUUGAAUUAACUGUGUUACAGGUUUCUGUGUUAGGUUCAAUAUGCAAAGCUGCAUCGCAUGUGUCGUGACUGUUGUGUUGGAUUGUGAGCAGGAUGUUUAAGGUUGAAGCUUCCAUGCCAUUAUCACCAUGACAAACUCAAGGCCAAGUAUAGGUUCCACUGGUUAUGUGCUUAUGGUGUUGCUACAAAAUAUCAAGCAAGGCAAAGUGUGUGCAACAGGUUGUAGCUUGAACUGACUUUACUUUGGUUAGAAAUGAUGUGUAGUGGGGUGGACUGCUGCAAGAUUUAAAAUUGUGUAGGAUGCUUGGUUCAAGGCUACACAUGGUCAACAUUGAUUCUGCUGCAGGAAAUCCAUUAAGCCAAUGGUCAUGGUUUGGCUUCAUCAUUUGGUUAGUGUCUUGGUCAGGAAGUGACAUUUUCCACAGGAUUCACACAUGUUGGGUUCAGUGUGCAUGUUGGUCCUGUUAGUGGUCUGCUGCAAGCAGAUUUCCUCCUGACCUGGAUAAGUAGCAGCUAGACCUUCCCUCAUGGCUUGCUUUUAUUUGAGAUUUAUAACAUGCUGCCAACGGGUUUUUUUUGCAGGUUUGGUUAUUGCUGUGACAGGUACCAAGCAAUGAACAUGGCUGCAUGUUAACUUAGGCUUAUUUGCAAACUGAUAUGAUAUGCUUAUCCAAUGCCAUUUCCUGAUGAGUUUGUGGCAGCAAUGUGUUGUAGCAAGCUAGCAUGAUGGUGGUAUGGUGUUGUUGUAAAGCAAUAUGUGACAUGAGUUGUGACAACAACAUUGGCUAAACCAUAUGCAUCCAUGGAUUUGUUGCACAAUGGUUAAGCUGUUAGGGAACUCCUUGGUCAAUGGUUAGGGCAAGCCCAAGGCAAAUGGUUAUUGGUUCAUGGUCAAGACAACAUGGUUUGCACAAUGGGACUUGCUUGCAAUGGAAGAAACCAAUAAAAAUCAACAACAAAUGAAGAUUGGGUGAUGUAUUGAAGAAAAAGGCCAGGCCAAGUUGGAUGGGCAAUAACAAGUAAAAGUUGACUUUGGUCAAAUUUGACCCAAAGUCAACUGUUGACCAAAGUCAACAAAUGGUCAAAAUGUAUUUUCUUUGUGAUUUCUUUGUAAAUGGAUAUUCAAUGGACAAUUAUGGGUGAAUUUAGGGUUUAAUGGAUUUGGGUUGACUUUGGUCAAAGUUAACCAAAAAGUCAAUUGUUGACCAAAGUCAACAGUUGGUCAAAAAUGCCAAAUUUUGUAUUUUCUUGUAUGGAAUCAGAUGUAAUGGUUUAAAAUGGAUGAAAUGGAUUGGAAUGAUUUUUAAAAAUGAUUGGAGAUUGGUUUCACAAUUGGCUUGAAUGUUUGACUUUUGAAAAGAAAAUAACUUGACUGAUAGUAUAU